rfam:Schistosoma rodhaini strain Burundi genome assembly, scaffold: SROB_scaffold0011884
AUCUAGCUGACGAACCCCAAAUAAGCCGAAACGCGCAUCCUGGAU